UACAGAGGGCCCAAGCGUUGUUCGGAUUCAUUGGGCGUAAAGGGCGCGUAGGCGGCGCGGUAAGUCGGGUGUGAAAUCUCGGGGCUUAACUCCGAAACUGCAUUCGAUACUGCCGUGCUUGAGGACUGGAGAGGAGACUGGAAUUUACGGUGUAGCGGUGAAAUGCGUAGAUAUCGUAAGGAGCACCAGUGGCGAAGGCGGGUCUCUGGACAGUUCCUGACGCUGAGGCACGAAGGCCAGGGGAGCAAACGGG
rnacentral:rRNA from 1 species